GAAUCACAUCUCUGUAUUUAUAACUCUUAAGUGUUUCGAUUAUGUUUCAUUCACAAAUCAAAUAACUAAAAAAAUGUCUUUAAUAUCAUCCAAAUCUUUGUUUGUUGUGUUCUUGUGUUUGGUUGUUCUCUUGAUCCCAAGUAUUCAACAAAAGAUAUCCACUUUUUGUUAAUUUAAACCUAUAUGAUAUGCUUAUUUUCUAUAAUAGUGUAUAUAUUUUUAUGUUUUGUAGUAAUUGGUUUUAUUAUAUAUUACAGAAAUUACGGAAGCUGGCACUGAUUUACAAGGAGAGGGAUAUUUUAUCAUAGGUUCUUGCUCGACAACUCCAGAGUGCACCCAAAAAUGCAUUGAUAUGCAAAUGACAAUGCAUCACGGAAUAUGUUUUGAAGUAGUGCCUCAUGCCCGUGAAAAAGCAUGCGGUUGCUAUUAAAUAAUAACUCUAUUAAGAUACCGUGUAUGUUAUAAAAAAAAAAUACUAAUAAUAUAUACAUUUCUUUUUGUUUUAUAAAUAUUUAUAUUUUCUCAAAUCAAUAAAUUCUUAUGGAUUUUUAAAAAAA
rnacentral:lncRNA from 1 species